rnacentral:lncRNA from 1 species
UUAAUACCCCUCUGAUUAUGAACAUAAAUAUGAUUUGUGAGUAGUUACAUUUGUUCCUGAGGACAUGGGAGAAGUCUUGCUAUAAGUAGUCAUGUGAAUUUGGUAUUCGUUCGAUAUUUUGAUGAGAUGUAUGUUGUCUUUCCUCUAGCGGUGUUAUGUGAACGUCGACUACAUGACACUUCACCAUUGUUUGGGCCUAGAGGAAGGCAUUGGGAAGUAAUAAGUAGAUGAUGGGUUGCUAGAGUGACAGAAGCUUAAACCCUAGUUUAUGCGUUGCUUCGUAAGGGGCUGAUUUGGAUCCAUAUGUUUCAUGCUAUGGUUAGGUUUACCUUAAUACUUAUUUUGUAGUUGCGGAUGCUUGCAAUAGGGGUUAAUCAUAAGUGGGAUGCUUGUCCAAGGAAGGGCAGUACCCAAGUACCGGUCCACCCACAUAUCAAAUUAUCAAAGUAACAAACGCGAAUCAUAUGAGCGUGAUGAAAACUAGCUUGACGAUAAUUCCCAUGUGUCCUCGGGAGCGUUUUCCUUCAUAUAAGAGUUUGUCCAGGCUUGUCCUUUGCUACAAAAAGGAUUGGGCCACCUUGCUGCACCUUAUUUACUUUCAUUACUUGUUACCCGUUACAAAUUACCUUAUCACAAAACUAUCUGUUACCGAUAAUUUCAGUGCUUGCAGAGAAUACCUUACUGAAAACCCCUUGUCAUUUCCUUCUGCUCCUCAUUGGGUUUGACACUCUUACUUAUCAAAAGGACUACCAUAGAUCCCCUACACUUGUGGGUCAUCAGCAGCUACCGCCGGAGAGCUCUUGGUCCUUCCCCCAAAGAAAGCGUCGUCUGCAUUUGUCAAUUUCCUUCAGCAGUUUCUUGGGGACUCGCAGCGCUGUGAGGGGAAAGGUGGGCGGUGCCGAGAGGACGCAGCGGACAAGUACGCGCCUGCCCGCCAUGGAAAGCAUCCGUCCCUUCCACCCCGCAAGCCGGGCCCGGACACGGUCGAGGAUGAAUUGUAGGUGAACUAGGCGUAGCCGGCCCGUGGUGAGGGGUAGACCUAGGUAUCUAAUUGGGAAGUGGGCGAUCGGACCGCGGAAAGCGUGAAGAACUAGUUCUAGGUCGAUGUUGUUGCAGUGGAUCGGCGUGGCCAUAGAUUUAGCAAGGUUUAUCCGUAGGCCCGAGGUGUUACCGAAGCUAUGGAGGAUGAGCAUCAGGUGGUCAAUUUCCUCCUUGUCAGGGUUUGCAAAAAUUAUAGCGUCGUCGGCGUAUAGGCUCACUCUGAGCUUGAUCUCUCUACCAGGCACCGGCAUGAUCUCGAGCGCCUCCUCAGCGGCUUGGAGAAGGCUGUGGAUGGGGUCGAUCGCAAUUAUGAAGAGGAGAGGGGACAGGGGGUCUCCUUGCCGCAGUCCCCGGCGGUGGGAGAUUUGCACGCCUGGUGACCCGUUGAGGAGGAAGGCCGAGGAUGAGGUGGCGAGGAGUAGCGUGAUCCAAUCCCGCCAGCGUGCACUAAACCCUAGCCUCGUGAGCAGCUCCAGGAGAUACUCACGAGGCUAGGGUUUAGUGCAUGCCAUGCGUGAGGGGAAUCCAUCGCCGUCCUCAUCAUCAACCAUCCUCCAUCACCAAUUCCAUGAUGCUGACCGCCAUGCGUGAGUAAUUCCAUCGUAGGCUUGCCGGACGGUGAUGGGUUGGAUGAGAUUUAUCAAGUAAUCGAGUUAGUUUUGUUAGGGUUUGAUCCCUGGUAUCCACUAUGUUCUGAGAUUGAUGUUGCUAUGACUUUGCUAUGCUUAAUGCUUGUCACUAGGGCCCGAGUGCCAUGAUUUCAGAUUUGAACCUAUUAUGUUUUCAUGAAUAUAUGCGAGUUCUUGAUCCUAUCUUGCAAGUCUAUAGUCACCUACUAUGUGUUAUGAUCCGACAACCCCGAAGUGACAAUAAUCGGGACCACUCCCGGUGAUGACCAUAGCUUGAGGAGUUCAUGUAUUCACUAUGUGUUAAUGCUUUGAUCCGAUAAUCUAUUAAAAGGAGGCCUUAAUAUCCCUCAGUUUCCACUAGGACCCCGCUGCCACGGGAGGGUAGGACAAAAGAUGUCAUGCAAGUUCUUUUCCAUAAGCACGUAUGACUAUAUUCGGAAUACAUGCCUACAUUAUAUUGAUGAAUUGGAGUUAGUUCUGUGUCACCCUAUGUUAUGACUGUUAAUGAUGAACCGCAUCCGGCAUAAUUCUCCAUCACCGAUCCAAUGCCUACGAGCUUUUCACAUAUUGUUCUUCGCUUAUUUACUUUUCCGUUGCUACUCUUACAAUCACUACAAAACCCAAAAAUAUUACUUUUGCUACCGUUACUAUUACUUCCAUACUACUUUGCUACUAAAUACUUUGCUGCAGAUACUAAGUUAUCCAGGUGUGGUUGAAUUGACAACUCAACUGCUAAUACUUGAGAAUAUUCUUUGGCCCCCCUUGUGUCGAAUCAAUAAAUUUGGGUUGAAUACUCUACCCUCGAAAACUGUUGCGAUCCCCUAUACUUGUGGGUUAUCAAGACUAUUUUCUGGCGCCAUUGCCGGGGAGCAUAGAUCUAUUCUUUGAGUCACUUGGGAUUUAUAUCUGCUGGUCACUAUGAAGAACUUGAAAGACGAGAAAACAAAAAUUUAUCCCUCAACUACGAGGGGAGGUAAGGAACUGCCAUCUAGCUCUGCACUUGAUCCACCUUCUGUUUUGAGUAAGCUUGCGACAGCUAAACCUGCUUCUGCUAUUAAUUCUGAUAUGUCGCAUGUUAUUGAUGAUGCCACUUCUGCUAUGCAUGAUACUUAUGAUGAAACUACUUCUAUGCUUGAUACUACUGUGCCACUUGGUGAAUUUCUUGAUGAACAACUUGCUAGGGCUAGAGAGAAUGAAAGUAUUGAAACUGAUAAUAUUGAUGCCUGUUGUGCCUGAGGGCUAUGUUAUGGAUGAAGAAACUAAAAGAGACUUUCUUCCUUGCAAUGAUAGAAGUGAUGAAGAAAUUAUUAGCUAAGCUUAAACAAAAAACUCUGAAUGCUAGAAUGAAAUAUGAUCCUGCUUAUGCUACUUCACCUAUCUUCGUUACUGAUAAUGAUUAUGAAUUCUCUGGUGAUCCUGAUAUAAUUACUUUGGUUGAAUCUGAUCCUUUCUAUGGCUAUGAAUCUAAAACUGUUGUGGCACAUCUUACUAAAUUAAAUGAUAUAGCCACCCUGUUCACUAAUGAUGAGAGAACUCGUUACUUUUAUAUCCUUCAAAUAUUUCCGUUCUCAUUAAAGGGUGAUGCUAAGAUAUGGUUUAAUUCUCUUGAUCCUGGUUGUGUGCGUAGUCCCCAGGAUAUGAUUUACUACUUCUCUGCUAAAUAUUUCCCUGCUCAUAAGAAACAAGCUGCUUUAAGGGAAAUAUAUAAUUUUGUGCAAAUUGAAGAAGAGAGUCUCCCACAAGCUUGGGGGAGGCUUCUCCAAUUACUUAAUGCUUUGCCUGAUCAUCCUCUGAAGAAACAUGAAAUACUUGAUAUCUUUUAUAAUGGACUAACCGAUGCUUCCAGAGAUUACCUGGAUAGUUGUGUUGGUUCUGUUUUCAGGGAAAGAACACCGGAUGAAGCUGAGAUUCUAUUGAAUAAUAUGUUGACUAAUGAAAAUAAUUGGACACUCCUGAGCCAACUCCUGAGCCUAUUCCUAAACCAACUCCGAAGAAAAGGGGUGUUCUAUUUCUCAGUCCUGAAGAUAUGCAAGAGGAAAAUAAAUCUAUGAAAGAAAAAGGUAUUAAAGCUGAAGAUGUUAAGAAUUUACCUCCUAUUGAAGAAAUACAUGGUCUUAAUUUACAGCCUGUUGAAGAAAUAUAUGAUCUUAAUUCAUCACCUAUUGAAGAAACUCAUGGUCUUGAUAACCCGACAUAGGUAGUAAAGGUAAAUUCUCUCUAUAGAUUUGAUGAAGGUGAUAUUCCUCACUAUAAGUCUACUAUACAGUGCUUGGAUGAGUUUGACAAUUUUAUUGUUAAACAAGAAAAUUUUAAUGCUUAUUUUGGUAGACAAUUAAAACAAAAUGCUUAUAUGAUUGAACACUUGGGUGAUUAUAUGUCUAGAGUUAAAGGUGAACUUAAACUCAUUUGUAAACAUGGUUCUAUGGUUACCACUCAAGUAUAACAAGUACUUAAAGCUCAGAAUGAUUUGCUCAAUGAACUUAAUAGUAAGAAUGAUGAUUAUGCUGUUAGAGUGGCUACUAGAACUAGUAAAAUGACUCAGGAACCUUUGUAUCCUGAAGGCCAUCCUAAGAGAAUUGAGCAAGAUUCUCAAAGAAAUAAUACAGAUGCACCUAGUCCUUCUAAAAAGAAGAAAAAGAAAAAUGAUAGGACUUUGCAUGCUUCUAAGGAGCCUGUUGCUGAAAUAAAUGAGAAUCCUAAUGAUAUAUCUAUUUUUGAUGCUGAAACACAAUCCGGUGAUGAACAUGAACCUAGUGAUAACGUUAAUGAUGAUGUCCAUGUUGACGCUCAACCUAGUAAUAACAAUGAUGUAGCAAUUGAACUCGUUGUUUAUCUUGAUAACCCACAAUCAAAGAAUCAACGUUAUGAUAAGAGAGACUUUGUUGCUAGGAAACACGGUAAAGAAAGAGAACCAUGGGUUCAGAAACCCAUGCCUUUUCCUCCCAAAUCAUCCAAGAAAAAGGAUGAUGAGGAUUUUGAGCGCUUUGCUGAAAUGAUUAGACCUAUCUUCUUGCGUAUGCGAUUAACUGAUAUGCUCAAAAUGAAUCCUUAUGCUAAGUAUAUGAAAGAAAUUGUCACUAAUAAAAGAAAGAUACCGGAAGCCGAAAUUUCCACCAUGCUUGCUAAUUAUACUUUUAAGGGUGGAAUACCUAAGAAACUAGGAGAUCCAAGAGUACCAACUAUACCAUGCUCCAUUAAAAGAAACUAUGUUAAAACUGCUUUAUGUGAUCUUGGAGCCCGUUUUAGUGUUAUGCCUCUCUCUUUAUAUCGUAGACUUGAUUUGAAUAAGUUGACACCUACUGAAAUAUCUUUGCAAAUGGCUGAUAAAUCAACUGCUAUACCUGUCGGUAUUUGUGAGGAUGUGCCUGUUGUGGUUGCAAACGUUACUAUUUUAACGGACUUUGUUAUUCUUGAUAUUCCCGAGGACGAUAGUAUGUCUAUUAUUCUUGGCAGACCUUUUUUGAAUACUGCAGGGGCUGUUAUUGAUUGCAACAAAGGCAAUGCCACUUUUCAUGUUAAUGGCAAUGAGCAUACGGUACACUUUCCGAGGAAACAACCUCAAGUCCACAGUAUAAAUUCUAUUGGAAAAAUUCCAUCGAUUAUUUUUGGAGGUUUUGAAUUUCCUCUUCCUACUGUCAAGAAGAAAUAUGAUAUUCUUAUUAUUGGGGAUGUGCAUAUCCCCGUUGAGGUAACAUAGUGUUAUUCGAAAUUUCUCCGGUUCCAUGUUAGUCAGAAUGAGUUUGUUAACAAGACCUGAUCAACCUUGUUAGUGGAUUCCUUUUGAUGAGCAUGAGAUGGAUGAAGUUAGAAAGCACAACCUUCUGUACCCUCCUUCUACUUUCUGUUAUUUAGUUGAAAUAAAGUAAAAUAGUAUUUUCCUAUCUGUUUUCUGAAUUAUCCUUGCAAUAUAAAAAUACCCCGAAAAUAAAAGUUCUCCAAAUGCCCUGCCAAUUUAAUAUGAUUUCUUCUGGAAUAUUUGAGAAUAUCUCGCACUGAGAACACAGCAGGGGGAGCAAGCACCUGGCCACGAGGGUCCAGGGCGCGCCCACCCCUACAGGGCGCGCCCCCUGCCUCGCGGGCCCACGGUGGCUCCCCCCCCACUUAUACCUGCACCCACACACUUCUUCCUCCUCCCAAAAAAAUCGCCAUCCAGCUCAAGCACGAGUUCUAGCUCAUUUUGCUGCGAUUUUCGAUCUCCUUGCUCAAAGCACCUCUCACAAAACUGCUUGGGGGUAUUGUUCCUUGGUAUGUGACUCCUCCAUUGGUCCAAUUAGUUUUUGUUCUAGUGCUUUAUUCAUUGCAAAUUUGUGCUGCCUAGGUGACCAUGUUCUUGAGCUUGCAUGUUAAAUUUAUAUGGUUCCAAGUAGUUCUAAUGCAUGAUAUAGGCUCUAGGCACUUGUAGGAGUAGUUGCUAUCAAUUUUGUUGAGUUUGGUUUACUUUUACUUGAAGUUACUAAAAAUUUCAGAAAUUUUGCACAGGAAGAAAUAUGUUUAGGAAAAUGUACCAAGGUGGUCCUUCAAGGGAACAAGGACCCAGGCAUGCAAUGCGUGAUGCUGAUGAUGAGCCACCAAGGGACGCUCCAGUGCGGCCUUGUGAAUGGCCUUCAGAGGACUUCAUGGAUCGAGCAGGAAUUAAGGACGAAUUUAACGCAUAUUUGCGUAACGCUGAUCUUGUGAGCUUCGAGGCAGAAAAGUGCCGCGAGUACAACUAUCUCACUAGUUCCUUUGUGAGGAGGUUUGAAUUUUCAUCUUCACGCAAUUCUCAAACUGUCCUGUUUGAUCUUUAUGAAAAUUCUUAUACUAUGGACUUAGAGGAUUUUACCACUGCUUGCAAACUUCCACAAUGGGGUAGUCCUAGUGAACCUCGCAAAUCUGAAUUUAGAGAUUUUCUUGCUAGUAUAACUGUGGGUGAAUCUAGAGACAUAACACAAGCUACCAUAGGGAGUAUUCAUUUUCGUGCUAUACAUUAUUUUGCUCUCUUCAUAGGUAGGUGCAUAAAUGGUAAGGAUGAAGCAUGUCACAUGUAUGUCCCUGACCUCAGUGUUCUCAGGAGUGCUGUGUUAGGAGACAAACAUUAUAAUUUAGGAGCCAUUGUCGCACGUAGGUUGCAUAAUAAUAAAAUUAAUGGAGAUUUCUUUGGAGGAAUUUAUGCAACCCGUCUAGCUAAUUUUCUUGAGGUACCUAUACGUGAGUAUGAUGUUGAGCUGCCUAAUGUUCAUUUAGAUUAUAAUGCCAUGGUUCAUCAUCGUUUUCUUGAGAGGAACGAGCAGUCCCUCCAGUAUCGCUUAAUCUUUGACACACGUCGCGCUGUCCAUAUUACUCUCCCUGCUCCUGCCUUCUUUGAUUAUCAGGCAAAAUGAAGACAUGUUAUUACCAGAGAGGAGGCAGAUGAGUACGAGAGGAGGGCGGAGGCAGCUCGCCGCCACGCUGCAGCUCAGGAGGCAAUAGCCGCUGCAUCUCAGUACUACCCCGGUUAUAACUUUGGAUAUCCACCAGGCCAUCCGUGGCAAUAGACCAACUUAGGCCAAAAGCCUAAGCUUGGGGGAGUACGUAUCUCUCACCGACAUUACAUUUAUGUUCACACACUCAUUGCUAGAUGUCGGUGCUCAUACUCUUUCAUUGUACUAUCCAUGCUAGUUUAUUUUCUUUUUCUUGCUUUCUUCUUGUGUGUUUGAUAAACCUUAAGAAAAACCAAAAAAAAAUUAGUUGUAGCUUUUAGCUAGUUUACUUUCUUGCUGUAGUCGUAAUAAUUAAAAAGAAAACCAAAAAAGAUUUCCCGUUCUUCUUUUGCUUGUUGGGAGCUUUCCCGUGUAAAUAGUUUUAUUUCUUUUCUUUUCUUUGGGGGUCGAUAGGAGAGGACCAUGAUUAAAUUGUUGAAGUGGCUCUUAUAUGCAUUAUUGUUGAUUUAACCAAGAGCCCAUAUUGCCUUGUCUUCUCAUGUUUAUUGAAUGCUUGCAGAUUCCAGCUUAGUCCAAUGCACAUGCACUAUUAUUAUUCACAUCGUUCGGUCGUGCAAGUGAAAGGCAAUUAUGUUGAUAUAUGAUGGACUGAUUGAGAUGAGAGAAGCUGGUAUGAACUCGACCUCUCUUGUUUUUGUAAAUAUGAUUAGUUCAUCGUUCCUGAUUCAGCCUAUUAUGAAUAAACAUGUUUGCAAUGACAAUUAGAGAUUAUAGUUGCUUAUGCCAUGCUUAAUUAGCUAGGAGUUUAUAAUGGUUUACCUUGCGUGCCAACAUGCUAUUAAAAUGGUUGUGAUGUGGUAUGAUGGGGUGGUAUCCUCCUUUGAAUGAUUCAAGUGACUUGACUUGGCACAUGUUCACACAUGUAGUUGAAACAAAUCAACAUAGCCUUCACGAUAUUUAUGUUAAUGGUGGAUUAUAUCCUACUCAUGCUUGCACUCAAUGUUUAUUAAUUUUAAUGCAUGUUCAUGACUGUUGUCGCUCUGUAGUUGGUCGCUUCCCAGUCUUUUGCUAGCCUUCACUUGUACUAAGCGGGAAUAUUGCUUGUGCAUCCAAUCCCUUAAACCCCAAAGUUAUUCCAUAUGAGUCCACUAUACCUUCCUAUAUAUGCGGUAUCUACCUGCCGUUCCAAGUAAUUUGUAUGUGCCAAACUCUAAACCUUCAAAUGAAAUUCUGUUUUGUAUGCUUGGAUAGCUCAUGUAUCAACUAGGGAUAUCCGUAUCUUCCAUGUUAGGCGGGUUAUUCUCAAGAGGAGUGGACUCCGCUCCUCACUCACGAGAAAAUGGCUGGUCACCGGGAUGCCUAGUCCCAUGCUUUAUGCAAAUCAAAUCAAAAUAAUUUCAAACAAAACUCCCCCUGGGACUAUUGUUAGUUGGAGGCACUCGUUGUUUCGAGCAAGCCAUGGAUUGAUGCUUGUUGCUGGAGGGGAGUAUAAACUUUACCAUUCUGUUUGGGAACCGCCUAUAAUGUGUGUAGCAUGGAAGAUAUCGCCAUCUCUUGGUUGUUAUGUUGACAAUGAAAGUAUGCCGCUCAAAAUAUUAUUUAUCUCUAUUUCAAAACCGAGCUCUGGCACCUCUACAAAUCCCUGCUUCCCUCUGUGAAGGGCCUAUCUAUUUACCUUCAUGUUGAGUCAUCACCCUCUUAUUAAAAAGCACCAGCUGGAAAGCACCGCUGUCAUUUGCAUCCAUUACUGUUAAUUUAUAUUGGGUAUGACUAUGACUGGAUCUCUUUUACCAUGAAUUACAAUGUCUAGUCAGUUCUUGAUCUUUAAAGGUGCUCAGCAUUUAUGUUUUGCGGUCUCAGAAAGGGCUAGCGAGAUAACAUCUUGUUAUAUCAUAUUAUGAUUGUUUUGAGAAAGUGUUGUCAUCCGAGAUUUAUCAUUAUUGCUCGCUAGUUGAUUAUAGCAUUGAUAUGAGUAAACAUGAGACCUAAGUGUUAUUGUGAAUAUGGUUAGUCAUAAUCUUUGCUGAAAACUUGAAUGUUGGCUUUACAUAUUUACAACAACAAGAGCAAACAGAGUUUGUAAAAGUUUUUCUUGAUCACUUUCAGUUUAUCAACUGAAUUGCUUGAGGACAAGCGAAGGUUUAAGCUUGGGGGAGUAGAUACGUCUCCGUCGUAUCUACUUUUCCAAACACUUUUGCCCUUGUUUUGGACUCUAACUUGCAUGAUUUGAAAUCUUCACCGUUUGUUUUCUAUCAUUUUAAUAAUAUAAUAGAUAGAUAGAUGCCUGGGAGUUAGGUAACCCCUUCUCUCCAAAAUAGUGAAAGUAACCAAUUUAUAUAUAUAAUUUACCGCAAAUAGUGCAAGGCACUCGUGGGACUAGAUUGUAGCAUGGGAUUUUAGGAUACUAGGGGCUUUGUUCAUGCAUUUUCGCUUGAAGAAACAUGUCUGCUACUUUGGGGUGGUGCUCCAAUGGUACACCGUCACCAUUUUGAGGCCCUUGACAGAAAAUUGAGAGAUAUACUUUCAAUGAACGGCAGCAACAAAUAUACUCUUCCUUUUGAUAUUCUAUAAUAGAAGAAAACUUCUAUGCUACAUUGAUUUGAUCUCUCACACCAAAACAACAGCCGGACAAAUCACAGCUAAACCGACGAUGGGCAAUUUCACAAGCGCGGCAGGCCGCCGCGGCUUCGCACGGCUAGUAUAGUUUAGACCGGCAAUGGAUAUGUAUUGCUAUGAUUCAAGUAAGUUGUGUUAUAGUACAAGCAGUGUUUAUGGAUGAAUAUAUAGUUCUACUAUUAUGUUGAUUACGGUAUUUGUGGCCUUGCUAUGGAAAAAAAUCAGCACAUAUAGAAACCACUAAUGAAAGUUUGUUUCUUUCAUUUUUUUCAUCUCUUACACUUGUUCCCUAUGUUGUGCAUUCUCUUUAUUCGGAUACAACUCGUACAGACAGAAUUCAUGUUGCCAUUCACCACAAGAAAAACUGCGAACACUGAGUGGUCGGUUGUAUGUCGAGUGUUAUUUUAUGGGGUGCUCAGCAUAAAACCCAAUUUGCCGAGCGAAAACUGGAAACACUCAGCAUAAUAUUACAGACCUUCCUUCCUCUUCUUGCUGGUCAGCUCUUCUCUCGCUCUACUGACAACAUCACAUGAUGCACCAGUCUGUAAUAAUGCACAGACACUCUGUAUCCCACUACUUCGGCAAAUCAUUGCCUUGGGUCCCACUUCUAUAGCUACAUGGUCAUGUGCACAACUCCCACCACUCCAGCCAAUAUCAGUGAUGUUUCCCGUCGUCUUCGACACUCUCUUUACUUGUCCCGUGCCUCUUUCCGCUCACCCACGGUUGCAUCAUCGAUCGACCACUUUGCCGAGGCAUAUCACUUUGCAUCACUCCUACUUGCACACAUUGUAUAGUUGCCGAGUUUUUCUUAUCUCCAAAUACCAUCUACCAGGACAUCAAUAUCAUCAUAAAGUUACAGUAUAGCUAGAAAGACAAAAGAAGAGCCACAAAAAACUUUCUGCUGAUUAAGUUCUGUCACGUUACCGAAAAAGCUCACGCCCCGCUUUAUACAUAAAGCAAGUUGUGUCACGUUCAAAAUAAGAUUUCCGCGACCAUGGCCAAGGUUAAAUCAAUUUCGCCUGAAGUUGAACAAGAAAAUUAACUCAUUUGACUGACAACAAGGAUCACAAACAACAUUCCAAUUUAAAGAACAUAUUGACUUUUGUCUUGUUCCCAGGAGAAGCACAAAUUGGCUUCUAGCCACAAUAUAUUAAAAAAAAUGGUGCGUGGGAGGAGGGUCGGGGGAUGUUACAAAAGUUGCAAUCCACAUGAAAAUGACAGCGGCAUGACAAAGCAAAAUAAAAGAGAUAUUUUAGCUGCUCAUAUAUUAUCUCCAACGGCUAAAUAAAUCCUAUGCACAACCGGCACACAGUAUUAGAACGACUCAAUUACAAGCAAAAAAGGUUCUUACGUGCGAGUACCAAUUGCCUUAACAAGUUGUACAACUUGAACCCGAAAGAAAUAUUCUUGAACUUAAUCAUUUUACACGUUUGUACCACUAGCACCUAGUUGGCUAGCUACUAGGUACGUGUGUCCCGAUUAGUACGACCUGACCUCUUCUCGGACAAUGAAGAUGGUGGAGUUUUUAGGUAGGUUGUUCUUGCCACGAGAUCAAAUGACGAAGUUCCUCCACAUCAGCAUAGGUAAUCUCGAUCAGAAGAAAUAACAGGCCGCCCACGAUGAUAUCUGACUACCUCAACGCGCGCACAUGUGCUUCGAAUUUGACCAGUGUAAUUCGUUGAGAUAUAUUUUCUCUAUGAAACUUUCCAAGCUUAGUUAUACCUCAGAGAAGCAAUCGAUCUUGUGCAGGCAGUAUAAAUACACAACGUACGCAUGGUGGCAGUCUAUCUCAUCGUUACAGAUACAUCUUCCUUGAUUAGUUUUGUAAGGCUUAAUCAGCGAUGGAGUACUCGCCGAAGCUAGCAGUAGUGGUGCUCUUAGCUCUCGCGUCCGCCAUGGCGGUCACGGGCCAGAACUCGGAGCAGGACUUCGUGGACGCCCACAACGCGGCGCGCGCCGACGUGGGCCUUGGGGAGGUGACAUGGGACGCUACGGUGGCAGCCUUUGCGCAGGACUACGCGGAUCAGCGCCGCGGCGACUGCCAGCUGAUCCAUACUCCUGAUGGCCGGCCGUACGGGGAGAACCUCUACGGAGGCGGCGGCGGCGGGACCGAGUGGACGGCGACGGACGCCGUGAAUUCGUGGGUGUCGGAGAAGCAGUACUACGACCACGACAGCAACACCUGCUCGGCGCCGGAGGGUGAGUCGUGCGGGCACUACACGCAGGUGGUGUGGCGCGACUCGACGGCCAUCGGUUGCGCCCGCGUCGUCUGCGACAGCGGCGACGGUGUGUUCAUCAUCUGCAGCUACAACCCGCCAGGCAACUUCCCCGGGGUGAGCCCGUACUAGGCUAUAUGCAUCAUGCAUGCACGCAUGCGAGCGUGCAUGUACGUACGUAGCAGCGUAUUGCAUAAAUAAAAUGAUUAAGCUGAGAUAACCACAGUGUGAUCAGAUGUGAUGUAUAGUUAACCAGCCGGCCGGAUUUGACGCCAUAUAUUGUUUAGACCGGCUGUAUAUAUGUACUGUUAUGAUUCAGGUAUUAAGUUGUGUUAUUGUACGAGCAGUGUUUAUGGAUGAAUAUAUGGUUCUACUAUUAUACUGAGUAUGGUAUUUGUGCCUCGCUGUGGAAAAAAACCCAGCAUACAUAGAAACCACUAAUCAAAGUGUC